GACGAACGCUGGCGGCGUGCCUAAUACAUGCAAGUAGAACGCUGAAGAGAGGAGCUUGCUCUUCUUGGAUGAGUUGCGAACGGGUGAGUAACGCGUAGGUAACCUGCCUUGUAGCGGGGGAUAACUAUUGGAAACGAUAGCUAAUACCGCAUAACAAUGGAUGACACAUGUCAUUUAUUUGAAAGGGGCAAUUGCUCCACUACAAGAUGGACCUGCGUUGUAUUAGCUAGUAGGUGAGGUAACGGCUCACCUAGGCGACGAUACAUAGCCGACCUGAGAGGGUGAUCGGCCACACUGGGACUGAGACACGGCCCAGACUCCUACGGGAGGCAGCAGUAGGGAAUCUUCGGCAAUGGGGGCAACCCUGACCGAGCAACGCCGCGUGAGUGAAGAAGGUUUUCGGAUCGUAAAGCUCUGUUGUAAGUCAAGAACGAGUGUGAGAGUGGAAAAUUCACACUGUGACGGUAGCUUACCAGAAAGGGACGGCUAACUACGUGCCAGCAGCCGCGGUAAUACGUAGGUCCCGAGCGUUGUCCGGAUUUAUUGGGCGUAAAGCGAGCGCAGGCGGUUUGAUAAGUCUGAAGUUAAAGGCUGUGGCUCAACCAUAGUUCGCUUUGGAAACUGUCAAACUUGAGUGCAGAAGGGGAGAGUGGAAUUCCAUGUGUAGCGGUGAAAUGCGUAGAUAUAUGGAGGAACACCGGUGGCGAAAGCGGCUCUCUGGUCUGUAACUGACGCUGAGGCUCGAAAGCGUGGGGAGCGAACAGGAUUAGAUACCCUGGUAGUCCACGCCGUAAACGAUGAGUGCUAGGUGUUGGAUCCUUUCCGGGAUUCAGUGCCGCAGCUAACGCAUUAAGCACUCCGCCUGGGGAGUACGACCGCAAGGUUGAAACUCAAAGGAAUUGGCGGGGGCCCGCACAAGCGGUGGAGCAUGUGGUUUAAUUCGAAGCAACGCGAAGAACCUUACCAGGUCUUGACAUCCCGAUGCUAUUUCUAGAGAUAGAAAGUUACUUCGGUACAUCGGUGACAGGUGGUGCAUGGUUGUCGUCAGCUCGUGUCGUGAGAUGUUGGGUUAAGUCCCGCAACGAGCGCAACCCCCAUUGUUAGUUGCCAUCAUUCAGUUGGGCACUCUAGCGAGACUGCCGGUAAUAAACCGGAGGAAGGUGGGGAUGACGUCAAAUCAUCAUGCCCCUUAUGACCUGGGCUACACACGUGCUACAAUGGUUGGUACAACGAGUUGCGAGUCGGUGACGGCAAGCUAAUCUCUUAAAGCCAAUCUCAGUUCGGAUUGUAGGCUGCAACUCGCCUACAUGAAGUCGGAAUCGCUAGUAAUCGCGGAUCAGCACGCCGCGGUGAAUACGUUCCCGGGCCU
rnacentral:rRNA from 1 species